rnacentral:lncRNA from 1 species
UAUCUGCACUAAGUGCCAUGUCCUAGUCUUAUUAAUGUCAUUGAAACUAACAGAGGAGUUUUUUGUUUGUUUGUUUGUUUUGUUUUUGAGACAGAGUCUCACUCUGUCACCAGGCUCCAGGCUGGAGUGCAAUGGCACAAUCUUGGCUCACUACAACCUCUGCCUCCCAGGUUCAAGUAAUUCUUCUGCCUCAGCCUCCCGAGUAGUUGUGACUGCAGGCUUGCUCCUGCAGUGGUAG